rfam:Nicotiana attenuata strain TT chromosome 1, whole genome shotgun sequence.
UGGACAGAUUAUUGUAUUCGACUGUAUUCAAGGCGUGAAAUAGGGGAUUACACUGUUUUUAAAACGGAAAGUGAAUCAAUUAACAUAAUAGACUCCU